UACAGAGGUCUCAAGCGUUGUUCGGAUUCAUUGGGCGUAAAGGGUGCGUAGGUGGCGCGCUAAGUCAGGUGUGAAAUUUCGGAGCUUAACUCCGAAACUGCAUUUGAUACUGCGGUGCUUGAGGACUGGAGAGGAGACUGGAAUUCACGGUGUAGCAGUGAAAUGCGUAGAUAUCGUGAGGAAGACCAGUGGCGAAGGCGGGUCUCUGGACAGUUCCUGACACUGAGGCACGAAGGCUAGGGGAGCAAACGGG
rnacentral:rRNA from 1 species